rnacentral:rRNA from 1 species
AGAGUGGCGAACGGGUGAGUAACACGUGAGUAACCUGCCUUAGACAUUGGGAUAGCCUCGGGAAACCGGGAUUAAUACCAAAUAAAAUCAUAAUGACACAUGUCAUAACGAUCAAAACUCCGGUGGUCUAAGAUGGACUCGCGUCCCAUUAGCUAGUUGGUAGAGUAAGAGCCUACCAAGGCGACGAUGGGUAGCCGGCCUGAGAGGGUGAACGGCCACAUUGGAACUGAGAAACGGUCCAA